AUUGAACGCUGGCGGCAGGCCUAACACAUGCAAGUCGAACGAGUGGCGGACGGGUGAGUAAGGGCUGGGAAACUGCCUGAUGGAGGGGGAUAACUACUGGAAAAGGUAGCUACUACCGCAUACCAUCAGAUGUGCCCAGUUGGGAUUAGCUUGGUGGUGGGGUAACGGCUCACCAAGGCGACUAUCCCUAGCUGGUCGGAGAGGAUGAGCGUCCACACUGGAACUGAGACACGGUCCAGACUCCUACGGGAGGCAGCAGUGGGGAAUAUUGCACAAUGGGCGCAAGCCUGAUUCAGCCAUGCCGCGUGUAUGAAGAAGGCCUUCGGGUUGUAAAGUACUUUUAUCGGGGAGGCGUUACCCGCAGAAGAAGCACCGGCUAACUCCGUGCCAGCAGCCGCGGUAAUUC
rnacentral:rRNA from 1 species